GUCUUCCUCACCUGUUGCUUGUUUUCCUCUCGUCUGAUCUGUGUAUUUAAUCCCUGUGUGUCUUUGCAAGUCCGUUUGUCGAUAUAGUCGCCUGUCACCUUGUCUAGAUACUUGUCUGUCACUUUGUGUGUACUCGCCAAAUUACUAGCUCUGCUAGCUACCAGUUCUGUCCUGUCCUUGUUUCCAGUUUUUGAUUUAAUAUCUCCCCAUCCCAGUUUGUGCUCUCUGCUACCCGGGAUUUUUGCUGUGGAUUUUGUUCCUGUCUCUGUUUCCAGUUUAGUGACUUAAUCUUCCCUACCCCAGUCUGUGCUGUCUGUUAUCCGGGAGUUUUUGCUGUGGAUUUUGACUAUUCGACGGCUCUCUGAAACGGCCCUCCACCUGCCUGCUUAACUGCCUGCCUGUUCUAUUGACUGCUUUUGUGCUUACAGCAGCGCACCCUCGCCGCGGCAUAGCCGCUGUCCAGCAGGAGGGUCCUACAGCACAUGUGCUGCCCGGCUUGCAGCAGCACACACUCGCCACGGCAUAGCCGCUGUCCAGCGGGAGGGUCCUUCAGCACUGAAGCUGCACGGCUUCUCCCUUCAGCCCCACUAACGCUCUCUCUCUCGCUGCCCGCCGCAGGAUCUCAUCUUCCCAUCUGCCUCGAGUGCCUGUAGCCGGUUUUGUCUCCCUGUUCCUGGCCUUUUGUGGCUGGUCCCCACAUAUACUCUCUCCCACCGUUCGCUGCCUGGCCGGAGCCCGAACGUGUGUGGCUCUCCUCCCCGGUGCUUGUGUGUGCUCCCCGCCUCAGCCGUCUGCCCUGGUGUGGCUUUAUGCCCAGACGCGCUAUUGUCUGUUUACCCACGUUAUUGUUAAUAAAACCUUCUGUUUACUGCA